CCCCGUUUGCGAACGGAGAGUAACCUGAAUGCUACUGAUCCGUUUCGGGCCAGUUUUAAGCGGGAUAUGAAGCAGCGCCUUCAUAUCUAACCCGUGGCAACGGAACCAGUGCAUUCUUAAUUAUAAUUGUGCCCUGUUCUUACGAACAGAGGAAAAAUACUAACUAACUAACAUCUCCGGUUUUGAAUCACACCAGCCAAGGGAGAACACGCGGUGCCUUCCCCUCCAGCUACAAACCCUCAUUGGUCUAGCUGUGAGGUGUUUACAAGUGGUGACCUCGACGUGAUCUGGAGUAUCUGGAGUGUUCCCUGAAGUUUCUGCUGGUGUUUUUCAUCCCGGCGUGAUACCCUUCACCGUGGGUAUCUCGCAUUUUCUUCUCUGGUUUCCCGAUCCUUGGUGUGGUGAGUGACACAAUUCUCAUAUAUUAGCCUGUGCUAGGGAGAGUUUUUUAGUCACUGUGCAGGGGAUCGACAUAUCCCAGACAGGCCUGGGACCGUAGAAACCAGGCAUUUUCCAUAUUACUACCCUUUGGGGAAUUCAUGAACAGGGAAAGAGAGAAGCUUAGGCUUGCAUGUUUUUAGGAAAUGUGUUGUGCUAAUACGGCAAAAUGCAUUCAAGAACAAACUAGCCUAUAGCAGUAGAUGGUUGCGUAUGUGUACGAAAAUGUAAGCGUUUGUAGAAAGGAAGGGAGUUUUGAUGCAAGGCUUACUACUGUUUCUGCGCAGAGGCGCAGAAAACCUUGCUCAAACUCAGGAGAAAUGAGGCACUGGUGAAAAGCCAGUGAAUUUUGAAGGUGAACAGUGAGAAAGUUUAUAGCUGCCAGUAAGCGUGUGCAAUCACAGAAUGCACACGCGAAGAAGUUUGAACUUUGCUAGGGGGCUAACCCAGGAAAAGUGGCAAGCUUCUUAUUAUAUUUAAAUUAAAUAAUAUUAAAACACUGCUGAAUGCUGAAUCAGGUGCAUAACCUCGGUUUCGAAGUUCCAGCCCUGAAAGCAGAGUCUGUGCUGAUCCUUAAACCCAGGUAUGGCCCUGCGGCAGUACACACGUCUCAAGACCUCUGACAGUGCAGACUGCAGCUGCACCAAGUUUUGAAACUGUUCGUAUCUGUCCGGAGGAAACCAUACUUUAAGUCUCAGAGAUCGAGGCCGGUACCAGUGUAGUCACUGAACCUCUGAGUACCGUGCCCGAUGUAAUGUCACAGGACCGCUGAGUGCCACGGCAAAUGCAAGUCUCCAUCCCUCUGAAAGUGUAGCCGCAGGCUACAACAAGGGUGGCGACCGUCUGGAAUUUGCCACAUGUGGGACUCAUGUCUACAGACCUCUGAGACUGGUGAAAAGGUAUCAGGACACAGAACUUCUGAAUUUCUGGGGUGCUGGAACCAAGGUCCUUGGCCUGUGUUAUCUGUCUCAGUAACCAGUGGUAUACUAUUAAUUAAAUAAAUAGGUUAGGGUUUAUAACAGUUGAGAUAAGCCAGUGUAGAAGGUAAAGUUCCAACAUGACUUAUCACCAACCAAAAAAUAGACUUUGGCCUAUUAUAAAUAAAAUAACCAUUAGCCUAGAGCUAAAUUAAGUUAUAUAGGCAUAGGUGUACCACCAUUCACCUUUCUUUAGAAAGCUCGCUUUGAAAAAAGUGUAGUGAAUUCUGGUGUACCCUAUUGUUUUCAUCUGAGUUUUUAUUCUGUGUGUCUUAGCAGCACAAGGAUGAAAUCAGAGGAUUUUAACUAAUAAUAUAUUAAUUAUUAACGCAUGCCUGUGCACGCCAUUUAGAAACUGUUAGAAUUCACUAACCGACUUAUUUGGGUGCCAAUUAAAUUAGCUAAGGCAUGUUAGAUACUAGAGAUCUAAUGGUAUUUUUGUGUGAAUUUCACCAUAGCACAACAUAUACAUAUUAGAAUCUUUAGCAAACCGUUGAUAAGCCAUUCAAAUGCCAUAAAUGAAUAUAAUGUCAUCAAACUUUAACUCAACUAAUAAGGGCCAGUAUCAUCUGUGCCUGCAAUGAAAAUUAUUUAAGGAAGAAGUCUUCCAAACUACAUAUCUCAAAUAAAUAAAUAAAUAAAUAAGGAGAAGAAGCAAUUACUCCUAAGUUUACAUAAAGUUUGUCUUUUAGCAUUAAAAUGUUGAAAGAGGGGUCAUCUUUUGGCAAGGACUGGCUUACUGGUCUCUCUUUUAUUCUAGUUUUUCACAGUUUCCUCUCCUUAAAUUCCCUCCUUCCUUUUCAUUUACUGUUCCUCCUCCUCCUUUCUCCCUUCUCCCCAUCUGUCUGUCUUGUUCUGUUUCCCCCCCUUCUCUGUCAGUUGUUGAAUAUUUAAGGAGCAGUAAACCUACACUCCCAAGACAGUGUCUGAUUUUCUUUUUGUUUUUUCAUCUUUUUAUUUUUUGUCAGUUGUGGUUUAACCCCCAAAUUAUGCAGACAGUAACCCUACAUAGAUUUUCUCUUCUUUGCACAAAUACAGGCAAGAAGUUAGCACCUCAAGCAUCGGUGACAGACCAGUUGGGUGGAAAUCUCUGAAGGGGUCAUAAACAUGUCAGCAGCUCAUUUAG